rnacentral:rRNA from 1 species
CACUAUCGUUAACUGAAUACAUAGGUUAACGAGGCGAACCGGGGGAACUGAAACAUCUAAGUACCCCGAGGAAAAGAAAUCAACCGAGAUUCCCCCAGUAGCGGCGAGCGAACGGGGAGCAGCCCAGAGUCUGAAUCAGCUUGUGUGUUAGUGGAACGGUCUGGAAAGUCCGACGGUACAGGGUGAUAGUCCCGUACACCAAAAUGCACAGGCUGUGAACUCGAAGAGUAGGGCGGGACACGUGGUAUCCUGUCUGAAUAUGGGGGGACCAUCCUCCAAGGCUAAAUACUCCUGACUGACCGAUAGUGAACCAGUACCGUGAGGGAAAGGCGAAAAGAACCCCGGCGAGGGGAGUGAAAAAGAACCUGAAACCGUGUACGUACAAGCAGUGGGAGCACCUUCGGGUGUGACUGCGUACCUUUUGUAUAAUGGGUCAGCGACUUAUAUUCUGUAGCAAGGUUAACCGUAUAGGGGAGCCGCAGGGAAACCGAGUCUUAACUGGGCGUUAAGUUGCAGGGUAUAGACCCGAAACCCGGUGAUCUAGCCAUGGGCAGGUUGAAGGUUGGGUAACACUAACUGGAGGACCGAACCGACUAAUGUUGAAAAAUUAGCGGAUGACUUGUGGCUGGGGGUGAAAGGCCAAUCAAACCGGGAGAUAGCUGGUUCUCCCCGAAAGCUAUUUAGGUAGCGCCUCGUGAACUCAUCUUCGGGGGUAGAGCACUGUUUCGGCUAGGGGGUCAUCCCGACUUACCAACCCGAUGCAAACUACGAAUACCGAAGAAUGUUAUCACGGGAGACACACGGCGGGUGCUAACGUCCGUCGUGAAGAGGGAAACAACCCAGACCGCCAGCUAAGGUCCCAAAGUCAUGGUUAAGUGGGAAACGAUGUGGGAAGGCACAGACAGCCAGGAUGUUGGCUUAGAAGCAGCCAUCAUUUAAAGAAAGCGUAAUAGCUCACUGGUCGAGUCGGCCUGCGCGGAAGAUGUAACGGGGCUAAACCAUGCACCGAAGCUGCGGCAGCGACACUAUGUGUUGUUGGGUAGGGGAGCGUUCUGUAAGCCUGCGAAGGUGACCUGUGAGGGUUGCUGGAGGUAUCAGAAGUGCGAAUGCUGACAUAAGUAACGAUAAAGCGGGUGAAAAGCCCGCUCGCCGGAAGACCAAGGGUUCCUGUCCAACGUUAAUCGGGGCAGGGUGAGUCGACCCCUAAGGCGAGGCCGAAAGGCGUAGUCGAUGGGAAACAGGUUAAUAUUCCUGUACUUGGUGUUACUGCGAAGGGGGGACGGAGAAGGCUAUGUUAGCCGGGCGACGGUUGUCCCGGUUUAAGCAUGUAGGCUGGUUAUCCAGGCAAAUCCGGAUAAUCAAGGCUGAGGUGUGAUGACGAGGCACUACGGUGCUGAAGUAACAAAUGCCCUGCUUCCAGGAAAAGCCUCUAAGCAUCAGGUAACAUCAAAUCGUACCCCAAACCGACACAGGUGGUCAGGUAGAGAAUACCAAGGCGCUUGAGAGAACUCGGGUGAAGGAACUAGGCAAAAUGGUGCCGUAACUUCGGGAGAAGGCACGCUGGUGUGUAGGUGAAGUCCCUGCGGAUGGAGCUGAGACCAGUCGAAGAUACCAGCUGGCUGCAACUGUUUAUUAAAAACACAGCACUGUGCAAACACGAAAGUGGACGUAUACGGUGUGACGCCUGCCCGGUGCCGGAAGGUUAAUUGAUGGGGUUAUCCGUAAGGAGAAGCUCUUGAUCGAAGCCCCGGUAAACGGCGGCCGUAACUAUAACGGUCCUAAGGUAGCGAAAUUCCUUGUCGGGUAAGUUCCGACCUGCACGAAUGGCGUAAUGAUGGCCAGGCUGUCUCCACCCGAGACUCAGUGAAAUUGAACUCGCUGUGAAGAUGCAGUGUACCCGCGGCAAGACGGAAAGACCCCGUGAACCUUUACUAUAGCUUGACACUGAACAUUGAGCCUUGAUGUGUAGGAUAGGUGGGAGGCUUUGAAGCGUGGACGCCAGUCUGCGUGGAGCCAACCUUGAAAUACCACCCUUUAAUGUUUGAUGUUCUAACGUUGGCCCCUUACCGGGGUUGCGGACAGUGUCUGGUGGGUAGUUUGACUGGGGCGGUCUCCUCCCAAAGCGUAACGGAGGAGCACGAAGGUUAGCUAAUCCUGGUCGGACAUCAGGAGGUUAGUGCAAUGGCAUAAGCUAGCUUGACUGCGAGCGUGACGGCGCGAGCAGGUGCGAAAGCAGGUCAUAGUGAUCCGGUGGUUCUGAAUGGAAGGGCCAUCGCUCAACGGAUAAAAGGUACUCCGGGGAUAACAGGCUGAUACCGCCCAAGAGUUCAUAUCGACGGCGGUGUUUGGCACCUCGAUGUCGGCUCAUCACAUCCUGGGGCUGAAGUAGGUCCCAAGGGUAUGGCUGUUCGCCAUUUAAAGUGGUACGCGAGCUGGGUUUAGAACGUCGUGAGACAGUUCGGUCCCUAUCUGCCGUGGGCGCUGGAGAAUUGAGGGGGGCUGCUCCUAGUACGAGAGGACCGGAGUGGACGCAUCACUGGUGUUCGGGUUGUCAUGCCAAUGGCACUGCCCGGUAGCUAAAUGCGGAAGAGAUAAGUGCUGAAAGCAUCUAAGCACGAAACUUGCCCCGAGAUGAGUUCUCCCUGAGACUUUAAGUCUCCUGAAGGAACGUUAAAGACGAUGACGUUGAUAGGCCGGGUGUGUAAGCGCAGCGAUGCGUUGAGCUAACCGGUACUAAUGAACCGUGAGGCUUAACCUU